rnacentral:rRNA from 1 species
AUUGAACGCUGGCGGCAUGCCUAACACAUGCAAGUCGAACGGCAGCGCGGGGGCGAACCCUGGCGGCGAGUGGCGGACGGGUGAGGAAUGCAUCGGAAUCUGCCCGGUUGUGGGGGAGUAACUCACCGAAAGGUGAGCUAAUACCGCAUAAGACCGAGAGGUGAAAGCGGGGGACCGUUCGGGCCGUCGCGCGAUCGGAUGAGCCGAUGCCGGAUUAGCUAGUUGGUAGGGUAAAGGCCUACCAAGGCGACGAUCCGUAGCUGGUCUGAGAGGAUGAUCAGCCACACUGGGACUGAGAUACGGCCCAGACUCCUACGGGAGGCAGCAGUCGAGAGGCUUCGGCAAUGGGGGAAACCCUGACCGAGCGACGCCGCGUGGAGGAUGAAGGCCCUUGGGUUGUAAACUCCUUUUAUUCGGGAAGAAGUGCGAUCAGGUGAAUAAUCUGGUCGUUUGACGGUACCGGAUGAAUAAGCUCCGGCUAACUCCGUGCCAGCAGCCGCGG